GAUGAACGCUGGCGGCGUGCCUAAUACAUGCAAGUCGAGCGAACAGACGAGGCGCUUGCUCCUCUGACGUUAGCGGCGGACGGGUGAGUAACACGUGGAUAACCUACCUAUAAGACUGGGAUAACUUCGGGAAACCGGAGCUAAUACCGGAUAAUAUAUUGAACCGCAUGGUUCAAUAGUGAAAGACGGUUUUGCUGUCACUUAUAGAUGGAUCCGCGCCGCAUUAGCUAGUUGGUAAGGUAACGGCUUACCAAGGCAACGAUGCGUAGCCGACCUGAGAGGGUGAUCGGCCACACUGGAACUGAGACACGGUCCAGACUCCUACGGGAGGCAGCAGUAGGGAAUCUUCCGCAAUGGGCGAAAGCCUGACGGAGCAACGCCGCGUGAGUGAUGAAGGUCUUCGGAUCGUAAAACUCUGUUAGUAGGGAAGAACAAAUGUGUAAGUAACUAUGCACGUCUUGACGGUACCUAAUCAGAAAGCCACGGCUAACUACGUG
rnacentral:rRNA from 1 species